rnacentral:rRNA from 1 species
UACAGAGGUCCCAAGCGUUGUUCGGAUUCACUGGGCGUAAAGGGUGCGUAGGUGGUGAGGUAAGUCGGAUGUGAAAGCUCGGAGCUCAACUCCGAAAUGGCAUUGGAAACUACCUUGCUCGAGGGUUGGAGGGGGGACUGGAAUGCUUGGUGUAGCAGUGAAAUGCGUAGAUAUCAAGCGGAACACCAGUGGCGAAGGCGAGUCCCUGGACAACUCCUGACGCUGAGGCGCGAAAGCGUGGGGAGCAAACGGG